CAACUACAUGGAACUGAACAACCUGCUCCUGAAUGACUACUGGGUAAAUAACGAAAUGAAGGCAGAAAUAAAGAUCUUCUUUUAAAGCAAUGAUAACAGAGACACAACGUGCCAGAAUCUCUGGGACACAUUUAAAGCACUGUGUAGAGGGAAAUUUAUAGCACUAAUUGCCUACAAGAGAAAGCAGGAAAGAUCUAAAAUUGACACCCUAACUUCACAAUUAAAAGACCUAGAGAAGCAAGAGCAAACAAAUUCAAAAGCUAGCAGAAGGCAAGAAAUAACUAAGAUCAGAGUAGAACUGAAGGAGAUAGAGGCACAAAAAAACCCUUCAAAAAAUCAAUGAAUCCAGGAGCUGGUUUUUUGAAAAGAUCAACAAAAUUGAAAUAGCCAAAGUAUAAAUGGUUUGUUUGUAUUUUGAUCUGAAAUAUUUUCUUCUGUUCUGUUUUCUUAAAACAUAGCUGAUAAAAAGAGGCAGAGGAAGGUGGCAUCUAUUUUUUAUUGUUUAUGUGAAGUUUCCCUGCUACACGGAAAACAAGUCAGGCAGUUUUUAAGGUGGCUCUUGCCUAUUGCUUUUCAGGGGGUAAGAGAAAAUGGUAGUGUGAAGAUCAGAUUUCAGACCUUUGGUUUUGCGUUUCUAUUUACUGCUCCUGCAUGACAUAGAUGUGUGAAGAGGGCACAAAACGGAAGGCCAAUCCAUUUGGCAAGGAUGUGGGAAGGGAGAUGGAGCAAUCUUUCAUUUACCAGUAUUAAUAGUCUUAUCUUAAGGAUACAGAGCUGAUAGUGAAGAAAUAGUCACCAGGGGAUCCUAAAGACAUGUGGAAAAGACUCUUUUUCUAUUUACUGUUGAAAUUGGAGGAAAAUAAAACUUUCUCAGGUGUUACUGAUUUGUAUUUAAGCUAGUGAUUUCUUGGGGGUUUUGCCCAAUAAGGCUACUUCCUUGCAGUAACGGCAUCAUUGUGAAUACUGUAAACCUCAGUGAUGACACUGACCUAAUUCUCUUCCCACUUCCCACUUACCUUGUCAUGAAGUUACAUGUUCUAUUUAUGUACUUGCAGAUAGACUGUGCCCAUCUCUGUAAUGUCACCUUUUUUGUUAUUUUGUAAUCGUUGUUAUAUCAUUCAUCUAUCUCCCUUACCAGCUUUUUUGAAAACAGGCAUCUUGUUGCAUUGGUUUUUGUACACUCAGAGCCUAACAUAGGUCUUGGCUUAAGAAAUAUUUCUUUUUCAUUAAUUUGUAUUUAACAAACAUUUAUGUAGUACAUACUACAUGUUAAUACAUAUUAAAUCAUUUAAUCCUAACUCAAUGAAAUAAGGUAGGUUAUUAUCUCUGUUUUAUGCCUCUCCCAGAGGCAGAAUGAAUGAAUCAGCCAGGUCAUACAGCUAACAGGUUGGCAAAGCCAAGAUAUGAACCAAGCCAGUCUGGCACUAUAGUUUGUUGAAGAAGGAAAGACAAGAAAAAUUUGAGAUAACUAAAAUGGUUAAAAUUUGGCUUUAGAUAUUCUUGUUUCUAUAACUAACUCUCCUUGGCUCUUAAUCUGACAUACAGAUUUUUAAACUCUAGAGCACAAAUAUGCUAGAGAUGGUGGGCAAGUAUUUUCUUUCCUUGCAAGGAGCCACAAUGUCAGAUAAAACAUAAAAUUUUAUUCUCAAAUUUUUAAAAAUUUCACCUGCAGAUUUUAUGAUGACGAUGGCAGCAGAUUGUUUUUCAUGAGGCAUUUCUUUGACUUUGAGAGACUUUUUCUGUUUCUUGUUUGUAUUCGUUACUCUCUGUGCCUUAAAUAGCAUAUUAUGGUUUUGCUUGUAGUUUAUUAAAUCCACAGUUCUCCAGAAGAAUGCCCUAGCUUAUGAUUUUUGUUUUUGACAUCUGUCAUUUCCUUGAAAACAAGUUGGCUUUAUUUACAAGGUGAUUUUUUUUCUUGUUUUCUCCCUAUCCUCUUUCUCUCCUUUUCUUAAAGAUAAAUACAUUCUACAUUUCUUUUGUAAUUUAUUCAGCAUUAUAGGUUCUUCAUAGUGGGUUCUAGAGAGGUUCUUCACUUGUUCUAUUUAGGUUGUAGUGUUUAUUUGAUGUGUGUAUAUUACCCCAUUAUCUUAUCUUAAUAAAUAGUACUUAGCUAUAGUACAAUCCUAGUCUUGAACAUGGUAGGGUCUAAUAACCAUAGUUUUGGUCAAUGUACAUUUUAUAGCCUUUUCUUGUUAUAGGAGUGUGUUACUUCUUUUUUUUUUUUGGAAUCUAAACUUAGUGUCACUUCACUUAUGAUGCUCAUAACUUCCUUUUUUGUCUUAUUUGUAGCCCAUACCAUUUUACAAAAGUUGUCGUAUUUCCUCAGUACUGUUUGUAAUAAGAGAAAGCCUAGGCAGCAUUUUGAAUAGCUUCUUCUACUCCAGUUUGAAAAUGUUGGUAGGUCAGCCUAUUUUACUAUUUUUAUUAACUCUGCAUUAUUUUGGCAGGUAGAUAUAAAGUAGCUUUAGAAUUUUCUUAGGAUUUCUUUUAUUUCCUUAAAAUUGGUAAAAUAAUUACUUUUUAGCCAUGGGCAAUGGAUAUUGAAUUUCAGUUCCUCUGAUCUGGUAAAAGGCUUGUUAGAGAAACUUCUUUAUUUUCCCUGUGAUUACUUGUUCCAUAUUUCUUAGUAGGUCUGGGUCACAGACUGGUCAAGAAUCUGAAAUGUACUAAAGAUGGGUCAUUGCUUACUACAAAUUUAAUGUCUGUUGUUGGUUGUUAUCACUAUUGCCUCUAUAGUGUUAUUAAAAGGCGAUCAGGAGUUCGAAACCAGCCUGGUCAACAUGAUGAAACCCUGUCUCUACUAAAAAUACACACACACACAAAAUUAGCCAGGCGUGGUGGCCACCACGCCUGGCUAAUUUUUGUAUUUUUAGUAGAGACGGGGUUUCACCAUGUUGGUCAGGCUGGUCUCAGACUCCUGACCUCAGGUGAUCCACCCACCUUGGCCUCCCAAAGUGCUGGGAUUAUAGUCAUAAGCCACUGUGCCUGGCCAAAAAAAAAAGUUUUAUAGUACUUAGGGACACACAGUCUUAUGACUACUUCCUAUUCUGUGACUACUUUCAUAUAUUCUUUUGGUUAAAAUUUUAUCUAAUUUUAUUUUGUUCUUUUUAAUGUGUACUUAAUGUGUAAUAUAUGUCUUAAUUCUAUCUAAUACUAGGCUAUCUUCAAGUUAUAAUACCACUUAUAAGCCUAGAUUUUAUUGACAAUCCAGAGGCAUCGUCAUACUUCUAAUUGACAAAAAAAAAAACCAAAAAACUAAAGAAGGUGUGAGGCACAUUAUACUAUUAAACUCCUCACAGACUAAAAGGUCUGUAGGUAAAACAAGAAUUGUUCCUUGCUAGGCCUGCCAUGGUAAACAAAAGCAAACAAACAAAGAAAGAACAAGAAUAGGAAUAACAGCAGAUUUCUCAACAGAAACAAUGCAGGACAAGGCAGUACAACAGCUUAUUCAAAGAGCUGAGGGAAAAGGAAACUGUGGCAAUCAAGCAAAAUCAUUCUUCAAAACUGAAGGUAAUAUAAAGGCAUUUCCACAUUAAGAAAGACUAAGAGUACUAGUUUACCUGCCUUACAAUAAAUACUAAUAGAAGUCUGUUUAGAUGAAAGGAAAAUGACAUAAGGCAGUAACUCAAAUCCACACAAAGAAAUAAAAAGCAUCAAUAAAGAUGUGUAUUUCCUUUUCCUUAAACAAUUUUAGACACCUGAAUAAAACAAUAAUAAUCCUGUAUUGAGCUUACAAGAUAUAAAGAUCGUGUGUGUGUGUACAUUUGUGUAUACAUUUGCACAAGGGAGAUGAGAAGGGAGGGAGCUAUAUUAGAGUGAAUUUUCCAUAUACUGGAAUUAAGUUAGUGGAAAGGAAGUAAAACUGUCUUUAUUUAUAAAUAACAUCAUCCUGCAUAUAGAGAAUCAUAAGAAAUCCACAAAAAAAGGUGAUGGAACUAAUAAAUGAGUUCAGCGAGGAUACAGGAUAUAAGAUCAAUAUGUAAAAAAUCAAUUUUAUUUCUGUUGAUUACCAAUGAACAAUUAAAAUACGGAUAUAUUUAACAGAAGUGCAAGACGUAUACACUGAAGACAUUAAAACAUGGCUGAGAGAAACUGAAGAACAUCUAAAUAGAUGGAAAUGGGUUCCAUGGUCAUGGAUUGGCCGUUUUUCCCAAAUUGAUCUGUAGAUUUGUUGCAAUCCUGAUCAGAAUUCCAGCAGAUUUUGAUAAUUCCUUUUUUGUGGAAACUGGUAAAACAGUCUUAAAAUUUAUAUGGAAGUGCAAAGGAGUGAGAAUAGCCAAAACAAUUUUGAGAACGAUGAGAAGAGUAGAGGGUUACUCUUUUCAGUUUCAUAAUUUGUUCUAAAGCUAUGGUAUAGUAGGUAGAAUUUUAAGAUGGCUCACAUGACCUUGGCCCCCUGGCAAAAUGGUUUCACUCUUGUGACUAUGUUAUGUUAUAUAUUUAAAAAGAUUAUCUUGGUAGGCCCGAUCUAAUAAAUAAGAAAAGCAGAGAGUUUUCUUUAGCUGAGAGUAAAAGAUGAAAUCAGAGAGAUUUGAAACAUGAGAAGGAUUCAACUUACCAUUUCUAGCUUUAAAGAUGAAUGGGGCUCAAAGCUGAGGAUAGUUCAUGGCUAACAGCAAGAAAAUAAGGAUUUAAGUCCUACAACCACAAGGAGCUAUAUUCUGUCAGCAACCUGAAUGAACUUGGAAUCAGUUUCCUCCUCAGAUAUUCCAAAUUAGAUCACAGCUCAGCUGACAACCUGGAUUCAGUCUUGUGAGAAACUAAACAUAGAACCUAGUUGAGUUGGUCUGGCCUUUUGACCUACAUAACUGUGAGCUAAUGAAUUUGGGUUAUUUUAAGCUGUUGCAUUUAUGGUAACUUGUUUUGGAAAAAUAGAGGAAGAAUACACACAGAGGGCUCCAAGAUGGCCAACUAGACCCAGGCAGGAGGAACAUUUCCCACCAAAGGACUGGGACAUCAGGAAAACUGGUACACUCCUAGCAGAUCUUCAGAAGGGAGGCAUUGAGAGUGGGCAGAAGGAAGAAACAGAUGCUGGGCUGAAAGGGGAGGAAGCUGGGAACCCUGCACAGGGCUACUGCACACUGGGACUUGUUCAUGGCCUUCAGUGACUCCUGUGGAGUGGGUGAGUUGAACAGGCAAGGAGCAACUCACUCUUAUCAUGGGCAUCUGGAAUCCCAGAAAUAAGACAGUCACACAACAGUAAAGAAAAAAGAAUGAAAGGGAAUGAAGAAAAUCUUCAAGAAAUAUAGGAUUACGUAAAGAGACCAAAUCUAUGACUCAUUGGCAUCUUUGAAAUAGAUGGGGAGAAACAACUUGGAAAACAUAUUUGGAAAACAUAUUUCAGGAUAUCAUUCAUGAGAACUUCCCCAACCUAGCUAGACCUGCUACCACCAGACCUGGUACCUGGUACCACCAGACCUGCUUUACAAGAGCUCCUGAAAGAAGCACUAAAUAUGGAAAGGAAAGACCAGCAACUGCAAAAACACACUUAAGUACACAGACCAGUGACACUAUAAUGCAACCACACAAAUAAAUCAGCAUAAUAAACAGCUAACAACAUGAUGACAGGAUCAAAUCCACACAUAUCAAUACUAACCUUGAAUGUAAACGAGCUAAAUACCCCAGUGAAAAGGCACAGAGUAGCAAACUGAAUGAAGAAGCAAGACCCAAUGGUAUGUUGUGUUCAAGAGACCCAUGUCAUGUGCAGUGACACCCGUAGGCUAAAAAUAAAGGGAUGGAGAAAAAUCUACCAAGCAAAUAAAAAACAGAAAAAAGUAAGGGUUGCAAUUCUAAUAUCAGACAAAACAGACUUUAAACAUCUUGCCUAGAAUCAGAAAACAAAGAUCAAAAAAGACAAAGAAGGCCAUUACAUAAUGGCAAAGGUUUUAAUUCAACAUGAAAACCUAAUUAGCCAAAAUGUGUUUGCAUCUAACACAAGGCGACCCAGAUUCAUAAAGCAAGUUCUUAGAGACCUUCAAAGAGACUUAAAUUUCCACACAAUAAUAGUGAGAUAUUUCAACACCCCCACUGACAGUAUUAGACAGAUCCUUAAGUCAGAAAAUUAACAAAGAUAUUCAGGACCUGAACACUGGACCAAAUGGAUCUGAUAGACAUCUAUAAAACUCUCUACCCCAAAACAACACAAUAUAUAUUCUUCUCAUCUGCACUGAGUACAACAUAAUCUAAAAUUGGUCAAACAAUUGGACAUAAAACAAUCUGCAGCAAAUGCAAAAGAACCAAAAUCAUAUAUUAGCUACUCUCUCAGACCACAGUACAAUAAAAAUAGAAUUCAAGACCAAGAAGAUCUUUGAAAACUAUACAGUUUCAUGGAAAUUAAACAAUCUGCUUGUGAAUGACUUUUGAGUAAAUAAUGAAAUUAAGGCAGAAAACAAGAAGUUCUUUGAAAUGAUUGAGAACAAAGGUACAAUAUACCAGAAUCUCUGGAACACAGCUAAGGCAGUGUUAAAAGGGAAAUUUAUAGCACUAAACAGCCACAUAAAAAGUUAGAAAGACCUCAGAUUAACAACGUAACAUCACAACUAAAAGAACUAGAGAAGCAAGAGCAAACCACCCCAAAGGAAGAGGUGACAGGAAAUAGCCAAAAUCAGAGCUUAACUGAAGGAGAUUGAAACACAAAGAAAACAUUUAAAAGAUAAACGAAGCCAGGAGCUGGUCUUUUGAAAAAAAUUAAUAAGCUGGAUAAACCACUAGGCAGACUAAUAAAGAAGAAAAGAGAGAAGAUCCAAGUAAACACAAUCAGUAAUGAAAAAGGGAAUAUUAUCACUGACCCCACAGAAAUGCAAAUAACCAUCAGAGACUAUUAUGAACACCUCUAUGCACACAAACUAGAAAAUCUAGAAGAAAUUGAUAAAUUUCUGGGUACAUACACUCUCCCAAGGCUGAACCAGGAAGAAAUUGAAUCUCUACACAUACCAAUAAUGAGCUCUGAAAUUGAAUCAGUAAUAACCUACCAACCAAAAAAAUCUCAAGACCAGAUAAAUUCACAGCCAAAUUCUACCAGAUGUACAAAGAAGGGCUGGUAGCAUUCCUACUGAAACGAUUCUAACAAAUUGAAAAGUAAGGACUCCUCCCUAACUCUUUCUAUGAGGCCAACAUUAUCCUGAUACCAAAACCUGGCAGAGACAUAACAAAAAAAAUCCCAGGACUAGACAGAUUCACAGCUGAAUUCUACCAGAGGACAAACAGGAGCUGGUACCAUUCCUUCUCACACUAUUCUGAACAACAGAAAAAGAGGGACUCCUCCCUAACUCAUUUUGUGAGGCCAGCAUCAUCCUGAUACCAAAACCUGGCAGAGACACAGCAAAAAAUGAAAAUUUCAGGCCAAUAUCCCCAAUGAACAUUGAUGUGAAAAUCCUCAAUAAAAUACUGGCACACCAAAUCCAAUAGCACAUUAAAAAGCUUGUCCAUCACAAUCAAGUUGGCUUCAUCCCUGGGAUGCAAGGCUGGUUCAACUUAUGCAAAUCAAUAAACAUAAUCCAUCACAUAAAUGAACCAAUGACAAAACCACAUGAUUAUCCCAAUAGAUGCAGAAAAGACCUUUGAUAAUAAUCAACACCCCUUUAUGCUACAGACUCUCAAUACAUUAGGUAUUGGUGGAACAUAUCUCAAAAUAAUAAGAGCUAUUUAUGACAAACCCACAGCCAAUAUCAUACUGAUUGGGGAAAAGCUGGAAGCAUUCCCUUUGAAAACGGGCACAAGAUAUGGAUGCUCUCUCUCACCACUCUUACUCAACGUAGUAUUGGAAGUUCUGGCCAGGGCAAUCGGGGAAGAGAAAGAAAUAAAUGGUAUCCAUAUAGGAAGAGAGGAAGUCAAAUUGUCUGUUUGCAGAUGAUAUGAGUGUAUAUUUAGAAAACCCCAUUGUCUGAGCCUAAAAUCUCCUUAAGCUGAUAAGCAACUUCAGCAAAGUCUCAGGAUACAAAAUCAGUGUGCAAAAUUCACAAGCAUUGCUAUACACCAAUAAUAGACAGAGAGCCAAAUCAUGAGUGAACUCCCAUUCACAAUUGCUACAAAGAUAAUAAAAUACCUAGGUAUCCAACUUACAAGGGAUGUGAAGGACCUCUUCAAGGAGAACUACAAACCACUGCUCAAGGAAAUAAGAGAGGACACAAAGAAAUGGGAAAACAUUCCAUACUCAUGGAUGGGAAGAAUCAAUAUCAUGAAAAUGGCCGCAAUGCCCAAAGUAAUUUGUUGACUCAAUGCUAUCCCCAUCAAGCUACCAUUGACUUUCUUCACAGAAUUACAAAAAACUACUUUAAAUUUCAUAUGGAACCAAAAAAGAGCCUGCAUAGCCAAGACAAUCCUAAGCAAAAAGAGCAAAGCUGGAGGCAUCAUGCUACCUGACUUCAAACUAUACUACAAGGCUACAGUAACCAAAACAGCAUGGUACUGGUACCAAAGCAGAUAUAUAGACCAAUGGAACAGAACAGAGGCCUCAGAAAUAACACCACACAUCUACAACCAUCUGAUCUUUGACAAACCUGACAAAAGCAAUGGAGAAAGGAUUCCCUAUUAAAUAAAUGGUGUUUGGAAAACUAUGUAGCCCUAUGCAGAAAACUGAAACUGGACCCCUUCCUUGCACCUUAUACAAAAAAUAAUUCAAGAUGAAUUAAAGACUUAAACGUAAGACCUAAAACCAUAAAAACCCUAGAAGAAAACCUAGGUAAUACCAUUCACGACAUAGGCACUUUGGGAAGCCGAGGUCAGUGGAUCACCUGAGGUUGGGAGUUCAAGACCAGCCUGACCAACAUGGUGAAACCCUGUCUCUACUAAAAAUACAGAAUUAGCCAGGUGUGGUGGUGGAUGCCUGUAAUCCCAGCUACUUGGGAGACUGAGGCAGGAGAAUCGCUUGAACCCAGGAGGCAGAGGUUGUGGUGAGCUGAGAUUACACCAUUGCACUCCACCCUGGACGACAAGAGUAAAACUCCAUCUCAAAAAUAAAAUAAAUUUAAAAAAUGUGGUACUGUAUACCAUGAAAUACUAUGCAGCCAUAAAAAAGAACGAGAUCAUGUUCUUUGCAGAAACAUGGAUUGAACAAGAGGCCAUUAUCCUUAGCAAACUAACAGGAACAGAAAACCAAGUUCUCACUUGUAAGUGGGAGCUAAAUAUAAGAAUAUAUGGACCCAAAGAGAGGAACAACAGACACUGAAGCCUACUAAAAGGUAAAGGGUGGGAGGAAGGAGAGAAGAAGAAAAAGAUAACUAUGGGUACUGUGCUUGUUACCUGGGUAAUGAAAUAAUCUGUACAUCAAAGCCCUGUGACACAAGUUUACCUAUAUAACAAACCUGCAUAUGUACAGUGAACCUAAAAUAAAAGUUUAAAAAGAAAAUACAUGCAGUAUUCAUGACAGUACAGUACUGCCAUAAGAAUGGAUAUAUUAAUCAGUGGAACAAAAUUGUAAAUCCAUAUAAUAAACCCUAACAAUGAUGGUCAAUUGAUUAUUGACAAAAGUGCUAAGGCAGUUAAAUGGGGAGAAAGAAUAAUCUUUUCAACUAAUGAUGAUGGGACAAUUGAACACAUGCGAAAAGAAAUACAUUUGGACCCUUCACACCAUGCACAAAAAUUAAGCUAAACAUUAAUCCAUCAUUCAGGAUACCUUUUGUAAAACCUAGUUUCAGUUAAUGAUUUUUCUCAGCACCAGUUUUUUUCUUCUUUAGGUGCAGUGUUUUUUAUACCUGAACUUCAACAGUGGAUCACACUAUAUAAUUUACCCUUAUAUAAUUAAUAAUAGCCAGAAGUAUUGCCUUUUAACACAGAGGAAGAGCAGAAUAUCAUGUAUAUGGUUACCAUGUCGGGGGAGGGGUCUAACCACAGAAGGAUCAAAGAUCAUCACAAUGCUAGCCAUUGUUAAUGUAAGUUCCAAAACUUCGGCCUACUUUUUUUGGUGUCAGAGUAGCCAAGGAAAACACUAAGCAAUCAAGCACUGGAUGAAACAACAGUUAACUUACAUAAAAAAGAAACAGCAAGAUCAGCUUCAAUGAUGGCAUUGGUCUUUCAUGGAUAGGGUGUCCCCUAUAUCCAGCGGGUUCUCUGGCAGCCAACCUGUCUCUCCUGUCCCGUUCCUGUCCCACACUGUUUAGCACUGAUGGGCAAAAGGAACAACUUGAAGGCUUAAUCCACUGUUCUUCAUUCUUUCACUGUGUAUCCUUAAAGGCCUGUCAUUGGCAUCGUGAGGUAAUCCUUUUCUCAUUGGCUAGCUAACUGUGUUGGUAGCUUCAGUUCUUCCAGACUGAGUCAGGAUAUAACUUUUUAAGUUUAAUGCUCUGUUGAUUUUGUCAAUCUAUUGCUCUGUUCAGCUUACACCUUUACACAGUGUUCAGAGCUCUCAAAAAUGUGUAGCCUUAAGCAUUUUGCUCUGCUUUGGGUAUGAAAUAAAUGUUUGAUGGAUUCUG